CAACAAUACCAAAUUUUUCAGGCAUGUGUACAUGCCUAAUUUUUAGGCCCUCUGGUGCUGCACUGUGGCUUCAAAACUUUUUCACUGUUAUAGAUUGAAUAGCAGUUAGUUGUCUGCAAGCAUCAGAAAGUCACCCCCUUGCCCGGCGUCUGACACCUGGCUUGUCUGAACUAUUAGCCCGCCAGCUUUUACCAUACAAUCUGGUGGAGUCUGAG